CGGCAAGCGAUCAGAGGCGGCCACUACGAACAUCUCGAGACACAGGAGCCAGCAGUCGUCAAGUCAACGCGUCGAUAGGCCAGGACGAGGAACAUCAUCAGCCAGUAGAACCAGAGCGUGGAGGUACCGAGGCCAGCCCAGUCACACACUCGCUGUAUUAAUAAAUCGAGAAUAAAACCCACUGUUACCAUUUGAACCCUGUGUUUUCUCAUUGAUCUACGGGGCAGUCACGUUAUAUAAAUUUGGUGGGACGAACAUACAAUCUUAGGAGCUAGCAGCACGAAUCUCGUAGCGAGCAGACCAACAAAUCAGCUUCGAAUUACGUAUCUCCACCAGUUUCUUCAAUACAUCUUAUGGCGCUAUAGGCCCGAAGACGAACUUCAAGUAUACUCGCUUGACACCAAAUGUACGGCACUAAGCCUGCUGCCUUUUCUGGCAAUUCGUACAAUGCAGCAGCUAUCCUGUGAUGAUGAAGCGGAGUUUCCAAUUGCAGCCAAGAUCAUACGCACAAACCUAUACGUUGAUGAUCUAAUCUCAGGAGGAGACAGUUAUGAAGAGGUUGUUGAAAUUCGUCAACAAGUUAAGGAACUCUUGGACAGGGGACAUUUUCCGAUUACCAAAUGGUGCUCCAACGAGCCUGCGGCGCUAAAUGGAAUAAAAGCGCGGCGGAUGAUACAAAGGCGUUGGGUUUGGCUUGGGAUACUCUAUCGGAUAAUUAGCUCCUCAGCUUCUUAAGCGGGUGGACAGGUUAGCCCGCAACCAAGCGCUGCAUACUGUCGACCAUCGCUAGAUUAAUGGCCCCGAUCAUCACCAAGCUAAAGAUUUUUAUGCAGGUCCUAUGGAAGGAUAAGCUUGACUGGGAAGAGUCCUUACCGCAGUCACUACACCCGCCUUUGUUGGCGCACAUGUCACAGAUCGCAAAAGUAGCUUACUGGAAGUUUCCACGGAUUAUUUUGCAGCAUUACUCAUUCUGCGAAGUACAAGGAUUUUGUGACGCAAGCUUGGCCGCUUACGGCGCUCAAGAGUUACGCCCUUGAAGACCCUCACCAUUCCGAAGCUAAAGUUAUCCGCAGCCCUUUUAUUGUCCAAGCUCAUCUCUGAAUUUUCCUUCAGCGUGCACGCUUCAUUGUUGGUCAGAUUCUAAAAUCGUUUUGGCAUGGAUUCGUCAACCUCCGUCAGACUUUAACAUAUUUGUCUCAAGCAGGACUUCACAGAUACAAGAGAGAACUAAAGGAAUGAACUGGAGGCUCUGAAAGCGCACCUUCAGUCGAGCGUCCCUGACCCUGAGCGUCGACGCAGCGCAUUGGUGCUGUCACAGGAAAUGGAUAUUUCGUAUAGUUGCAAAGAGUUGCUGAGAGUUUUCGGGUACAUAUAUCGGUUCCAUCUAACGCGCAGCAAAGAUCGGGUUAGGCAUAACCUCUUACAGUCGAUUAAAUUAAAGGCGGUACUCAUCUGCUCAUUAAAGGGAUUCAGCGUGUGCACUUUGCCGAGAAGCAUAUGGCCCUAACUUCGAAGAUGCAGCUGUCGCCAAAGAGCAGACUUCUUUCUUUGAACCCAUUUCUGGAUGAAGGCGUACGCCUUCAAAGUUCUCAGCUGGAUUUCGAUGCCAAGCACCCAAUGAUUCUCCCAAAGUUUCAUCGCGUAACCUCAGCCAGGUUCUGGCCUAUUGGAGGACGAAAAACGGUUUCUGCUGUCAUCAGCAAGUGCAUUCAAUGCUUCAGAUUAAAGCUCAAACUAGUAGAGCACAUCAUGGUGCUGCUCUUAGAGGAUCGUGUUCAGCCGAAACGCCCAUUUGUAAUCGCUGAAGUUGAUUUUUGUUAACCCAUUCAAUUCAUUGUCGGAGGUCAGGAACAGGCCUCCUAUGAAAUGCUACAUAGCCAUUUUCCUUUGUUUCGUCAUUGAGGCUACACACUUGGAAGAAGUCGAGGAUAUUUCAACUCAAUCUUUUAUUGCAGCGCUAAUAAGAUUUAUAAGCCUGAGGGGGGAAGACUCAAACGAUCUGGUCGGACAACGCAACCAAUUUUGUGGGAGCCGAAAAUGAGGUUAUUGAGCCUCGGCAGUUGUUCCUCAGCGAUUCUCAAAGCAGCGAGUUUUGGAGUUCCCUUACUUCGAUGGAAAUUAAGUUUCCCACACUUUGAAGGCUUGUGGGAAGGCGCGAGAACCCAGAUGACAUCGACGUUUUGACGCCUGCUUACUUUCUCAUUUGGUCUACAUUUACCUCAAUGGACGAACCUGACGUCUGACAUGUGUGCCAAAUGCAGCAAAUAUUCCGGCGCAAAUGGAGCACCAUCAACUUUUCGUUGCUGCAGGAGCGAAGCAAAUGGCAAAGGGCAACGAGGAAGUUAACUGUCCUGCCCCUUGAAACCACUUCACUUCGAAGUAUGGCUCUUCCAACGGGGGGAGCAUGUCAGGAGCAAUCACUUAAUUGAAGUAAAAUCACUGAUUGUUUGUUAUUUGGUCAGCAUCACUGACAACAAGAAUGUAAACAAAGGAUUCCUGAAUUAUCUAUUUUGUAUGCGUGCACGUAUGGAUAAGAUGAGAUAAGCGCGUUCAGUCGCUGAUCUCCGCUCAUCUUGCAUUCGCUCGUUAUCGUUUUCGGAACUCAGUCGCAUCGCUGCAGAAAUAAACACUUACAUAAAAA